CGGGACGGGUGAGUAACGCGUGGGUAACCUGCCUUAUACUGGGGGAUAACAGCCAGAAAUGACUGCUAAUACCGCAUAAGCGCACAGAACCGCAUGGUUCGGUGUGAAAAACUCCGGUGGUAUAAGAUGGACCCGCGUUGGAUUAGCUGGUUGGCAGGGCAGCGGCCUACCAAGGCGACGAUCCAUAGCCGGCCUGAGAGGGUGAACGGCCACAUUGGGACUGAGACACGGCCCAGACUCCUACGGGAGGCAGCAUG
rnacentral:rRNA from 1 species